rfam:Bosea sp. WAO WAO_contig_6, whole genome shotgun sequence.
CCGCGGCAUUAACCGGCCCUUAACGAUUCCAAAGUAUGAAUCUGAUCGUCCAGUUUGUCUGGAUGUCGAGUGGCUCCUGCCCACUCUGUUUGACGCCUCCCUGUUGACCUUCGAGCCGCCUUCGGGGCGGCUCUUUUUUG